UUUUUCCUUUGGAAAUGACGUGUAAUGUUAGCCAUUUCCUACUUAGAUGAAGACCAGAUAUUGAGUUGAUUCCACUUUUUCGCUGAUGCAGAAUUCCGGGCGGCGUGACCAAACCCUUUACAAAGAACCUCGGCGAUCCCUCGUGCGUUUGGCUAACUUUAUAUCAGCCCUGUAACUGAGUCGUCAAGUUUGUCAGUUGUCAAUGUUAUCACACCUUGGCGAUAUUUUCCACAAUAUUUCGCUUGAUAUCGGAAUAGACAAUCAGCAGAGACAAACUUGACAAGAAUUUCGCGAAGCGUCACUCAAAAUUGAAGUACGUAAUCAUCUCGCAUGUUCGAUUGGAAAAAUUACUGAGUCGUGACCUAAACAAAGCAACUGAAUGAAACAAGGCAAAAAUACUGACAUGUGGUUAAAAGGCUCUUCAACGUUUGCAGAUAACACGUGAUGUCGUCAUCACAAGCUGUAUUCUAUCGACAAUCAUAAUUGUAUUUUAUUGUCAAUUGUAAUCGUCAAUUUGACUUUUGAUUAUAAUUACACCUGCCACACCACGUACCACUACUAUUCAGUCACCCCACCGACUCUUUUCUUGAUUAAUGACAUUUUACGCAAACUAAUCAAUCAAUCAAAUAUGCAUUGAAUGCAUUGAACUGCUAAACAAAAUGUGAAGUGCUAGACAUUUUCAGAGGAGCACGGUUUGAACUGAAGAUUAAGGCCAGUUUCAUUUGAUCACCCAGACCCUGCAGUCAAUUGGUUUUCCUACCAUUUGCAAUUCAAGGUACGGAACAAUUUCCUGAAUUUUAAUUGUUCCGACUGCCGCUAUCUUCGUUUUAUGAGCUAAAAUGGGCCAGGCGUAAGGGCACGACGAUCGAGAUCGCCACGAUUAUUCUGGUCUUAAGGAGUCGUUUCGCUUGGUUUCCAUACAGUCGUCGGCCCGAUCACCUAUGCAUACUUUGGGGCGAUCUGCACGAUCUUGAGGAAAGUAAAGCCUGACCUAUUAGGUAUUGGAUCAAGCAAGGCGUUACCUAUAACGAACUUCACGUUAAGGCAUGGAGCUAAUAUGGCAGUGAUAAAAAGUUUUCAAAACAUUUAUCUGGAGCGGAUCUAAAGACAUGAAAAGACGUAAAAGAGAAAAACCUAGAACUUGUGGUUAGCCUCACUAUAUAUCAGUCAUCAGACGACUUCCGUACGGGAUGUGACUGUCCCCUCGGCAGCCUCUAUAUCCGCCCAGACUAAUACUCCCAGUUUUACUUUGCCCUGUUUGUUAUUUAUCAUAUAUGGAAAUACAUAAAAAAGUAACUGACGUAGCUAUAGGGUUAAGGGAGGAGACUGACGGCAAGUUAAUUAAAAUAUUCUAGCCAUUGAUGCCCGUUAACGUCGUGAAUUGUUUGACGGAAUGGGUAGCGGUUUCGGCCGCACUUGAUCUUACACAUCACCGCGUAGAUCGCUCUCAUCAUCAGUUAUUACUCCGCAGGUUCAAAUGUACGAUAUUCAUAUGUUGUCUAUCGCCCAUUCAUCGCAAGACGGGUUUUUUUACGAAUAGAGGAAAUGACCAGCUCUCAGUUAGCUUAGUUAUAGAGCAUUGCAGCGGUAUCGCAGAGGUCAUGGGUUCAAAUUACGUUCAAGCCUGAAUUUUUUGCAAGCUUCAUUUUCACUGCUGCUUAAAUAGUUUUCAUUGCAGCCAUGAUCACUCUCAUAUAUUUUUAAUUAAUCUGCAGUUAAAAUAUAUGAUAUUCUUAUAUUCACAGUCA